rnacentral:ncRNA from 1 species
UUAUCAAGGGGUGCUCGUCGUUGACGGGCUGAGAACAGACCCUUCAGACCUGAUACGGGUAAUGCCGCCGUGGGAAUGAUAAG